rnacentral:rRNA from 1 species
CUACGGGUCGCAGCAGUGGGGAAUAUUGGACAAUGGGGGAAACCCUGAUCCAGCAAUGCCGCGUGUGUGAAGAAGGCCUGCGGGUUGUAAAGCACUUUCGGUUGGGAGGACUGCUUCUAGCACUAAUAUUGUUGGAAGUUGACGUUACCUUCAGAAGAAGCACCGGCUAGCUCCGUGCCAGCAGCCGCGGCAAUACGGAGGGUGCAAGCGUUAAUCGGAAUUACUGGGCGUAAAGCGCGCGUAGGCGGCUAGAUCAGUCGGGUGUGAAAGCCCCGGGCUUAACCUGGGAACUGCAUCCGAUACUGUCUAGCUUGAGUACAGGAGAGGAGAGUGGAAUUCCACAUGUAGCGGUGAAAUGCGUAGAUAUGUGGAGGAACACCAAUGGCGAAGGCAGCUCUCUGGCCUGAUACUGACGCUGAGGUGCGAAAGCGUGGGGAGCAAACAGGAUUAGAUACCCCCGUAGUC